CAAAUAUUUUUUUAUUUUGAAUCACAAGUAGAUUGCUUAUGUGUUCCUUUUUACAUUCAGGUUUGCUUUUGGCUGCCAAUAUAGGUUACAAGCGCUUCGUGACGUGAAAAGCAACACAUCAACAUUAAUUUUUGUACCUUGAGUUGUGAAAUGGAAAGAAACUCUUAAUCAUUUGAAAGACAUUAAUUUCCUAAAAUACUAAUUUAUGUAAUUAUGGAAUGUGGUGAUAAUUCUCUUAUCAUGGGCAGAAAUAAAAGCAAAGUAGCUUUUUAAAAAGCAUUUUCAUACAUUUCAGAUGAGAUCUCCCCAGGGUAGCCUUUCAGUGCCAGGGGUUACAUAGAGAGCUCUUUAUAUCAUGCAGUGGAAAAACAAUAGGGAAGAAGAAUCUACUCACAAAUGCAGAAGAAGAUGAGCCUUAGAGGAGAAAAAGGUUGUGAAAAUAAUUUAGAUACCUCACCUGCAAGCCAGAAAUUUCUUACUUGAAACGUGUCCUGUAGUGCAGUACUUACAAGUAAUGUCAGGUAAGAAACCCUAAUGACUUUGUUUUUGUUUUUGUUUUUGUUUUUUGCAGCAAGUGAUAUGUAAGGAACCCUAAUGACUUUGUUUUUCAUGUUGCAAAAAGCAGAAGCCAUUAGAGAGCAAUGGCCAAGAGGCAGACCUAACUGGGUGCGGCCGUGUUGCUUGCUCUCUGCACUUCAGCAUUGUCCGCCACCACCACCUUGUUUGCCUGUUCGCGGUGGAUCCUUUGGGCUGGCAGGAAGGGGUGAAGUUGCGACGUCUCUUGCACGACUCUCUCGUGCCCAUGUCGGCCUCCAUAGAGCUCAUCCUGGUGGAGGACGUGAGGCUGAGUCCAGAAGAGGGGACCACCUGGCAUCCAGGUACCCUGGCAUCCAGGUGGAGCUGCCUGUCAGAGAAGGCUCGAGACACUUUCUCAACACAGCACUGCAGACGUCGUCACGGUGGCCUCCCUGGAGGCCAGGGGAGUCGCCCUGGUGGGUUGGCUUUAGUUUCUCACCCAGGCCGCUGUGUGGUUAGUGGAUUGAGUAUUGGAAAAGCUGGCACUUAGUCACACCAGCUAUAACCAGCAGGGUCUUCAGAAUCUCCGCUUCAUUCAGCAACUUUGGUCAUCGUCGUGCCACCUCUGUGAGUUUCAUUCCACAUCCACACACUACUCCCACUAUUAGUUACCUAAUGGUUUCCUUUCAAUCCAUCUUUUAAUGAAGACUAAAGCAUCAUUUCAUAAGCACCACUAUGACAUCCACAAAGAAAAUCGUUUUUAGAAGAUGCAUCAGGUUUUUGUAUUAAUAUAUUUUCCAUGUUUCUUUCCUGGCCCUCUCCCUGUUCUUGCAAGUGCUGACUUAGCUAUGCCCCUGGGGGGCAGAAUUUAGCAUUCUGCCUUUUUUGAUUCAUUAUCCUAAGAUUUUAUAUUUUUCCCUGUUGCAAUAUAGGCUAGGCAAUUAUUUUAUGCAGCCGUUUGUACUUUAGCCAUUCUCUUUUUGAGGAGCAUAUGGAUUGUUUAAAACAUUUUAUUUCUUAAAAAUAUAUAGGAAGGCAUAGGAUAAAAAGAGCAAAAACAAACAAAUGCCACCGUGCUAGUCCUACAUGUCUGCAUAUAUCCAUGAUAGAUUGCUAGGAAAUCAGGAAAAUUGAUCUCACUUGUAAAGGAAGCUCUUGCCACUGAAUGUGUAGAGAAAGUCAUGAACGCCAAGGCUCAGCACUGACAUCCACCCUGUGAUUUCAGCGUAGACUAGAGAUGGGCACCAGGCUGAGGGACAAUCUAAGGGACAGAUUCUGUGCUGAACUGCAAAGUGCACAAAAAUGCUUGAUGGGUUUUACCUAUGAAAGUACCACGUGUAAUCACAAUGCAGAUCAAAAUACCGAACAUUUUCAACACCCGGGAAGUUCCUACCGCGCUUCCUCCUAGCCACAGCCCCCACAGGCCCACAAGGAAGGAUGGUGCUGAUUUCCACCCUCAUGGAUUAGCUGUGCCUGCUCCUAACCUCUGUGUAAGUGGAACAACACAACAUGUACCUUCUUGUAUCUUUUCUGUGUGCCAGUCACCCAUGUUGUUACAUGCACUGUAGUUUGGUCUAUUUCAUUGCUGUGCAGUGCUCCAUUUUUCCCAACGUUACCAAGGAUGUUUCUAUUCCUUUGCUUUGGUGGUUACAAAGUGUCCUUUUCUCAGCAUGCGCACUUUUUUAAACAAACAGACUUUAUUUCUUUAGAGCAGUUGCAGGUUCACAGCAAAACGGAGCUGUGUGUGAAAGUGCAGAGCUCCGUGUCCCGCCUCCCCCCACAAACACACAGCCUCCUCCGCUGCGCACACCCCCACCAGAGGGCACAUUGUUACACUCGGUGAACCUGCACUGACGCCUCAUGUUAGACACACUGACCGCUUUAGCAUCAGGGAGUGCUCUGUCAUAAAUCCCCGAUGACUGUUCUUGCUCUGAACUCUGCUGUGAUCCUGCUUUCUUUCAUUAGUGUUAGCAUGAUGUGUGUCUUUAUCCAUCCGUUUACUUUUCAUAUGAUGUGUCUUUGCAUUUUAAGUGGGGUCCUGGUACACAACCUACAAUCAGGUCCUGUUAUGUGAUGCACUCUGACCGUCUUUGUCAUAUAUUUUAAACAUUGAUAUUUAAAGUAGUUACUGAUAGAAUUGGAUUACUAUGUACUACAUUUGUUACCGUUUUCUAUUCCUUGCCCUGCUUCUUUGUUCUUCUUUCUGAGUUAUCUUCCUUUUCUGUCUUUUGAAGUUUUAAUAAUCAUUUUUCUAUGAAUCUACUUUUUCUCUUUCUUCUGUGAGGGGAUUAAGACCACUAGGACUUAGGGAUGCUAUGUCUGCGGCUGUGAAAGGAGAGGAGGUGAAGGGAUUGCCUGAGCAGACGCCUGCAAUAAGGGCAGAUGUUAAGUGCCUGGGUGGGGGACAGAUAGCAGCGAUCUGGGAGUACAGCAAAGCAUGCUGCAAACUCAGAGCCUGAGGGGUCUCAUGCCUCAAAAGCCACGGAGCGGGCUGACAUGGAAACUUCUCGUGGCUGCAGAAGUAGAUUGUGGUAUGUCCGCCCGGGAGAAGGGGCCUACGGCCUUCAUUUUUAGAACACUUGGCCAAGGUCCUUCUCUCCCUUUCUCCCAACAAUGCCUCAGGUGAU
ensembl:lincRNA